UUGGUUCUGCAUAUAUUUUGGCCAUUUUUCAGUUGGAUUGUUGGCCUUGUAGUAUUGAAUUGUAUUUUUCCUGGUUUGUCCAUUUUCUUUGAGAGACGUGACACUUAAGACAUUAAACAAAUUACAAAUUUUUAGAAAAGAUUUUAUUUAUUUGCUCAGCAGAGAGAGAGAACAAGCAGGGGGAGGAGGAGAAGGAGAGGGAGAAGCAGGCUCCCCGCCCCCCGAGCAGGGAGCCCGACGUGGGGCUCGACCCCAGGACCCUGAGAUCAUGACCUGAGCAAAGGCAGACGCUUCACCGACGGAGCCCCCAGGUGCCCCAAAUCACGGGUUUUUAAUUCUCUCCCUUUCCAUCAUGCUUACAGGCAUUUUCCAUUCUCAUAUCACAAGAGGACGUUUCACCUUUACUCUGGUGCUUGUGUACACUUGGUUUUUCCCUUUAAACCUUUGAUCUAAAAAGAAUCUAUGGUAGAAGUUGAGAGAUGAGGAUCAUAUUUAAUAUUUAAUUUUUUAUUAGAGGGACAACCAUAUGUUUUACUAUAGAUUAUGGAGUUUUCAGAAUCUGGUGCUUGUCUCUGACGUUUGAAACAUGCCCGGAACCGCGGCUCAUCCCCUUCCUCCUGCCGCCAGCACCUCCCUUCCUCGCACACUCGGAGCACGGCGAUGCAGACGCGUCUGGUCCCGAUUCCGAACUAGUGUGUCCCGAGGACACAGCUCUGCCAUCUGGGUGUUCUGCAAACGCCACCCG
rnacentral:lncRNA from 12 species